UACGUAGGGGGCAAGCGUUGUCUGGAUUCAUUGGGCGUAAAGAGCGUGUAGGCGGCCAGGUAGGUCGGUUGUGAAAACUGGAGGCUCAACCUUCAGAGGUCGACCGAAACCAUCUGGCUAGAGUCCGGGAGAGGAGAGUGGAAUUCCUGGUGUAGCGGUGAAAUGCGCAGAUAUCAGGAAGAACACCCGUGGCGAAAGCGGCUCUCUGGAACGGUACUGACGCUGAGACGCGAAAGCGUGGGGAGCGAUCCGG
rnacentral:rRNA from 1 species